AAUGGCAGAACUGAGAUAUUGUGACUUUUCAGAAACAGGACUGUGACCAUAACUGUAAAUUUGCUGGAACAGAACUGUGACAUUGAGAGUGGCUUUGUUGGAAAUGGCUAAUGUUGCAGGAAAUACUGAAAAGUAAUUUGUCAAGGUGCAGCCAAUCAACAUCAGUACUGCACAAUUAGGAAAGAGAAAAGGGAAACAGCUA